rnacentral:lncRNA from 9 species
UUUUUUUUUUUUGCCUUUUUGCCUUUUCUAGGGCUGCUCCCAUGACAUAUGGAGGUUCCCAGGUGCCUUGGGUGUGGCCCUAAAAAAAAAAAAAAGAUUAUAUAUAUAUAUAACUGAGUCACUUUGCUGUACAGCAGAAAUUAACACAAUACUAUAAAUCAACUAUACUUCAAUAAAUUAAAAAAAAAAAACCUGUGACUUCUUGGGACUAGCCUGGGGCUCAAAAGACACCAACAAGAGGGCUUUCAAACUGUUUCACCUUUAUCUUGGAGCAGAGUGGUCCCCACAGCUCUGUGGGGACCUCGGGCAAAGGUCAGUGGUCAGAUGGAGGCUGGAGUGUCAAUGCCGGCUCAUGGCUCCUGGAUCAUGGUUGCUGGCUGUCACUAAAUCUGAGGGCCUGGUCUAGGGUCACCGCUGCCACAAUUUUACUCUUCCACUUCCCAGAAACAUCCUUUCCCAGUAAACACAGAAAACUUCUAUCACGGCCUUCAAGAUAUGUCACCUCAACCAGGAAGCCUUCUCUGACUGAUCCAAGCACACACGAAUGCUGCCUCUUUUAGAUAACCUGGGUCUUUUGCUUUUCCUUCUAGAUCACACCAGUUAGAGUGAUCCUUAAAAUAUUAAACAAUAGUACCAUCCACUUCAGGAGUUAUGUGGGCAACGUGAGGGAAUGCCAGCCUGUGGCCAGCAGGCCCAGUCUCAGGGACCCAAGUGGGCUUCAGAGAUUUUCACAACUGGGUAUCACGGGAGCCAAGUGGGGACAUCUAAGCAGGACAUCUUUCUUGCUGGGAUUCUAGCCUCCUUGACAGAGGAGAAGAAGAGGUAUGGGGGCCUGCUCCCCAGAACCAGGGUGGGCAGGAUGGGGGCUUCUACAGUGGCCUCAAAGCUAUGCUUGAUGUGAUCCCCCCCGGGAAUCAACACCGUGUACUCGGGUGUGGAUAACAAAGACUCAAGGCGAUAGUUAGUUGACAACAGGUAGGAAAUUACUUCAACAUUUCAACACCUAGUAAAACUGGAUUGGUACAUAUCAACUGCAUAUCCCCAGGGCUGGGACAGAACCUGACCCAUGGUAGGUAAGCCAAUAAAGAGUUGUUGAUGGAAUGAAUGAACAAUUGGCCCCCUCAGCUAAAAGCAGAGCCAGAGUGACACUCUGGGUGGACUACACUUUAAUUCCAUAAACAUUCCUCCAUGUUAAGGUACUCCUCGAAGAUGCUAUUAUUUGUACUUAUGAAAGUAAGCAACCAAAUUUCUCUGAGGUUAGUAGAAGAUGGACUAAUCUGAGUUGUAAUCAGGCUCGUCAAUCAGGACUUCUGUUGGUUAGCCUUGAUCUGUGUUAACUAUGACUUCUGUUGCUAAUUUUAGCUUCUGUGGGUUAAUCAGGACUCCUGUUGAUUAACUUCUGCUGGUUAACUAUUGGUGAACCCUGACUUCUGGUGUCUAAUCAUGGCUUCUGCAGCGUAAGCCUGACUUCUAAUGAGCGUGACAAUCAAGGCAAGCAACACAAUUAACCCCUAAUUACCUAGAUCCAAAUGAUAGACCUGCAUCCCAAACUCAAUCACCGUGUUUCCUAACCAUGGAUUUAUCAACCUUUCUUCCCCACCCUCUUUUACUUUUGCUAUCAAAGAACUGGGGUCUAAUUAAAAAGAAAAAAAUACUCACAUGCAGGAGAGUUGUUUGCUUCACAUCUUAGCCGUGACCAUGGAAGGCCUGUACCCCACUGAGAGUACUUCUGUCUCCCUUGGGGAUAGGAGGUACCAUUGUUCUAACUAAUCUACUAUCCACGGGGCAGAAACAACCCCAAAUCAGAAGGGAAAGUAACUGUCCCUUCUAAAUCUGCAUACUCUCCUAUACCUACAUACUUAAAAUUCAUAAUGCCCUGGAUAGACCAGUCAAAUGUCCCACAUCUAAACAGGACACGGAGACAAGUGGAUUCUCUCACUCCCUUCAUAUUUUGAGGGGAUCCGAGGUUCCCCUCCUCUAACAUCUGAAAUGACGGCUCUAUUUCUUGUCCUUUUCCCCCAUUCGUGGGCCCUGUUUCACCUUCUAGUUUUCAGAUAUCACACAUCAUAUGCCUCACUCUCUCCAAAGGGCGGGAGUUUUGAGUUGGGCUGGUGGUAAGAAUUAGGCUUUAGCUCAGGUCCACAUGGAUUUAAACUCUGACUCUGCCACUUGCUCUCCACAUGAAAGUGAGCAAGUUACACCAAAGCCUCCAUCUCCUCAUCUGUAAAAUGAGGGUAAGAGGUACCUGCGCCACAGGACCCCUCAGAGCAGCAUCCAGCCAGGGAACGCACAUAUGGUGUUAGCACCAAGCCCAGCAAGAGCCCAGGGAAUGGCAGCUUUUGUUACUGGCAAAACCUCUUUUUCAAAAGCUUUCUCUUUUUAAAUUUUUUGACAUGUAUGUAUUUAUUUAUUUAUUUUGCUUUUUAGGGAUGCAGCCACAGCAUAUGGAAGUUCCCAGGCUAAGGGUUGAAUCAGAGCUGCAGCUGCCAGCUACAUUAUAGCCACAGCAGCAUGGGAUCCAAGCCAAGUCUGCAAUCUACACCACAGCUCACGGCAACGCCGGAUCCUUAACCUACUGAGCGAGGCCAGGGAUUGAACCUGUGUCCUCAUGGAUACUAGUUGGGUUCAUUACUGCUGAGCCACAAUGGGAACUCCUUCCAAAGCUUUCUUCUGGGCAAUUUUCAACAUGCAUUUUGUGUUUAAAAUAAAGACUCCCCAAUAGGACAGGACCCUGUUCUGAAUCUCUGAACAACAGAGGUUCUUGUGGGCAGACAGCCUUGAUGAUUCCAAGGACCCCUUAUGGAUCGAUCCAUUCACUCAAUGUCCAUCAGCUGGGGCGGCGGCGGCGGGCUCUGUUGGGGCACAGAAAGAUGGACAAGGCCUGGCUCCAGCCCUUUCUCAAGCUACCAGGGGUGUUGAGUCAAGUGAACCAAGCAGUGUGGAAGCAGAGAGUGAAAGGUGCCUGGUACAGUGCCUGGCACAUGGUGGGCACACGCAAAUUAUUGACUGAGUAAAGGCCAUUGCAAUACCAAGAAGUUGGCACUUGAUCCCAGCUCUAACGGAGGGAUAGGAUCUGAACAGCAAGCCUUCUUCCAAGGAGCUUUACGGGUAAGUGGCAGUCAGGGGUGAGAAAGGACAGGGAAGGGCCAGGGUCCAGGCUGCAGACACAGCGACAAGGAGAGUGUGUGACACAGCUGGAACAGCUGGCUGAUGUGCAAACUGGGUUAGAUCACAAAGGCCACACCAGGCGUUUCCUGGGAAGGCCCUCAUUCUUCUGUGCAGGAGAGGACUAGGGUCAGAAUACACUCUGCCAGGAUUGUUCAGGAAGCUGUGAAUUGCUGAUUUCAGGAGGUGUUGCUUUACCGCUUACUGCAGCAGACUGUGAACUCUGGGUAUCAAUGCAAAACCUAAAAACUCUGAGCCUACCCUCAGGUCCAAGCAGGAAUGUAGCCCAAGAAUCUUUAAUUUCUGAAAUGAUGGUGCAAUCUGCAGACUCGUGUUUAAUCAUGAAGUUAUCUGUGAGAAUUCACACUGCAGUGUUUUGGAUGGAAGUUGCCUUAGAGCCAUUUGCAUCCAGUUUAACAAGUGCAGAAAGCACCACGACCUUUUGAAGAAAGGCACUCAGUAAAAACUUCUUUUUUUUUUUUUUUUUUUAAAGGCAACUUGGACCCAUAUUAGUCAUAAAAAAGCAAGGGGUGGGAGAAAUUCACCCCCAAAAAUAGUGUGGGAAGUACAUCUGUUUGCACUUGGCUUCUGCAGAGUUAAUUUCUAUCCCAUGCAAAGUUCAAAAGGAUAAUUUCUCCUUUUAGAGUGAGAGAAGAGAGAAAAAGUCAGGAGGGUUCCUUAGUUGUUUCUCCUCAGUCAUUAAAAGGACUAUAUCUCAACCCCAUCUCAAUCAAAAGGUAAGUAGGUAUCUGAAUGGUCAUCAUUAAAAAGUCUACAAAUAAAUGCUGGAGAGGGGGAGGAGAAAAAGGAACCCCCCUAUACCGUCAGUGAGAAUGUAAACUGGUACAACCACUAGGGAAAACAGUAUGGAGGUUCCUCAAAAACUAAAAAUAGAACUACCAUAUGAUCCAGCAAUUCUAAUCCUGGGCAUCUAUCCAGACAAAACUCUAAUUCAAAAAGACACAUGCACCCCUAUGUUCACUGCAGCACUGCUAACAAUAGCCAAGAUAUGAAAACAACAUCGACCAAGGAAUGGAUAAAGAAGAUGUGAUACAUACAUACAUCUACAAAUGGAAUAUUACUCAGCCACAAAAAAGAAUGAAAUAAUGUCAUUUGCAGCAAUGUGGGUGGACCUAAAGAUUAUCAUACUAAGUGUAGUGAGUCAGAAAGGGAAAGACAAAUACCAUAUGAUAUCACUUAUAUGCAGAAUCUAAAAUAUGGCAUAAAUGAACAUACCUAUGAAACAAAAACAGAGACAUAGAAAACAGACUUGUGGCUGCCAAGGUGAAGAGGGGUGCAAGAGGGAAGGAUUGGGAGUUUGGGAUUAGCAAACGAUUACACAUAGACUGAAUAAACAAAGAGCAAGUUCCUACUGUACAGCACAGGGAACUAUAUUCAACAGCUUGUGAUAAACCAUAAUGGAACAGAAUAUGAAAAAAAUGUAUAUAUUAUAACUGAGUCACUUUGCUGUACAGUAGAAAUUACCACAACACUGUAAAUCAACUAUACUUCAGUCAAUUUUUUUUGAAAAAAGAUCAAGCAGGCGGCUGCCCACGUAGGCACCCUCCCUGGCUAGCACGGCCAGCGUGGCAAGGUCCAGGUCAGGCCGGCACGGACCUGCAACUCCCGUUUCCAGCCAGAAGCAGAGAUGCUGCCAGUGGGAGGUAAGUGUGGAAUAAUCCCAUCACAGCUACUUUGGGAAACAUGGUUUUCAUACCAGGAAACACGUUGCCUUAAACAAACAAAAAACACCCUCCACAGUGAGUGGACGUCUAUGCGUGACAACGUCUGCAAAGUUAUUAAUAGCCAGAUUUGGGGGGGGAGAAAGAGAAAAGUAAAGACCUUUUCACCCCACUGAAAGACAAUGGUACAAGGGAGGGAGAAAGUAGAAAAACAGUCCACUAUUUUGAUGACACACAGAAAGCUUCCUCCCCAGCAGGGAGGGUAGGCGUGCGUGUAACACAGAAAACACUGGACAAGUCAAGCUGGGGGCUGCUCUGAGCCACGAAAGGAAAACAAUGUAAGAUUCAUACACCACCAAGAAAGUCAAGUUGUCCCAAGGGGGAGAGGCUUACAGCUGUUUCUUUUUUGUCUUAAAAAAAAAAAAAAAAAAAAAAAA